GGUCGGAGUUCAGUCUUCCCGGGCCCACCAUUCCCUAGAUGGAAUGAGGGUCGGGAAUGAAAUGACCUGACGCGGAAGUUUGCCGAAUCCCUGAACAGCGAUGUUCGGGGCGAUCGAGCUGAUGGGGCUGUAGCUCAGCUGGGAGAGCACCUGCUUUGCAAGCAGGGGGUCAGCGGUUCGAUCCCGCUCAGCUCCACCAAAUCGAUCGUUCUCGAAUGAUCCGAUUGGUGUUGAGACUGAAUGGUUUUGAUCGGCGAUUGUCUUUUGAAGAAAUACAAGUUUGCAUCGGCUUUUAGCCUGAUGCCUGUUCUGCAUAAAUCGUGAAGAGAAGAUUGAUCUGGAGGCUUCCAGGUGUUGGGUUCUGCCCAAUGUCCGAGCCCAGUUCCUGAGAAACCAUGGAUGGCCUAGCCGGCCGGAUAUGGUGGAGGGAUUGGAGGUAGGUAGGAAGCUUGUCGCUCUUGAUCGUCUGUUGUUCGGCACUUUCGGGUGUCGUCUGAUGGAUGAUCGGAUGACCGUUGCCUGACCGCGCGGUCCCGGAUUUAAUCUCGAGAAGCUGGUCUUAAGACCGGAUGCAAGUGAGCUGCUCGGCGUAGCUCCAAUAAAGCAAUCCGGUCGAACACGUCGAUGGCAUCAUGAAUAGACCUGGUUGUAAAAGGUAACCGGGUUUUGAUGAGCGAAUAGCGAAUGGCGAAUAGUUUGAAAAUUCUAUUCGCUAACAACUACUCACUAUUCGCUGUCAAUAUGGAUGAGCAUUGGCAAUGAGAACGAUUAAGUGUCGUAAGGGCAUUUGGUGGAUGCCUUGGCAUGCACAGGCGAUGAANGACGUGAUACGCUGCGAAAAGCCGUGGGGAGCUGCGAAUAAGCUUUGAUCCAUGGAUCUCCGAUGG
rnacentral:misc_RNA from 1 species